rnacentral:tRNA from 1 species
UCAAAUUAGAUCUUGAGAUAAGUUUUUCAUUUACAUUGAAAAGAAAUUAAUAGUUAAUUAAUUAAUUUGAG